UACGUAGGGGGCAAGCGUUGUCCGGAAUCAUUGGGCGUAAAGCGCGUGUAGGCGGCUUGGUAAGUCCGCUCUGAAAGCCCGGGGCUCAACCCCGGGAGGCGGGUGGAUACUGCUGAGCUCGAGUCCGGAAGAGGCGAGUGGAAUUCCUGGUGUAGCGGUGAAAUGCGCAGAUAUCAGGAGGAACACCGAUGGCGAAGGCAGCUCGCUGGGACGGUACUGACGCUGAGACGCGAAAGCGUGGGGAGCGAACAGG
rnacentral:rRNA from 1 species